GUCAAAAGACGCUUCUCACAUUGCGUUCCCACGUGAACUCAGUAGUAACUUUGCAGUGUGUCAACACAAAGUAGUGUGUGUGGUCAAGUGUUCCAUUACAGUUUUUUCGAUGUGUGCGAUGGAAAUGACAUUCAAAAUGCGGAUUAUAAAAACAGACAAAAAAGAAGAGACGGUUGGCUAGCUGUGACAUCUAAUGUUGUUGGCAAAGGUUGGAACAACAUUGACAAAGUAACAAAAGAAGCCUUAGGAUGAGCAAAAAAGUGGAAGAGCAUUAAGGAUUGCUACUACAAAAAUGUGAAAAUGCACGAUCGCAAAAGUGGAGAUUCAUCAAAAUCCAGGAAACAUUACAUUAAUCACCAACGGUUAUCAUUUCUCCAAUCUUUUUGUGUAGAAUGAGAGACAUCUGCGAAUAUGGCUGUCAUUCUAACAGAAAGUACGCAAGACGC